rnacentral:rRNA from 1 species
UACGUAGGCAGCAAGCGUUGUUCGGAGUUACUGGGCGUAAAGAGUGCGUAGGCGGUUCACCAAGUCUGUCGUGAAAUCUCCCGGCUUAACUGGGAGGGUGCGGUGGAAACUGGUGGGCUUGAGUGUGGGAGAGGUAAGCGGAAUUCCUGGUGUAGCGGUGAAAUGCGUAGAUAUCAGGAGGAACACCGGUGGUGUAGACGGCUUACUGGACCACGACUGACGCUGAGGCACGAAAGCGUGGGUAG